UACGUAGGGACCAAGCGUUGUCCGGAAUCAUUGGGCGUAAAGAGCGUGUAGGCGGCUUGUUAAGUCUUGCGUGAAAUCUCGGGGCUCAACCCCGAGCGGUCGUGAGAAACUGGCAGGCUAGAGUGCGGGAGAGGAGAGUGGAAUUCCUGGUGUAGCGGUGAAAUGCGCAGAUAUCGGGAGGAAUACCAGUGGCGAAGGCGGCUUCCUGGCCUGUUCUUGACGCUGAGGCGCGAAAGCUAGGGUAGCAAACGGG
rnacentral:rRNA from 1 species